CCGGGGACUCCGGAGAAACGCCGGGUUUCAAGCCGGAGGAAGGUGGGGACGACGUCAAGUCAUCAUGGCCCUUAUGUCCUGGGCUAACGCGUGCUACAAUGGCCGGUACAGAGGGCGGCAAGACCGCGAGGUGGAGCGAAUCCCUCAAAACCCGUCUCAGUAUGGGGGCUGCAACCCGCCCCCAUGAAGGCGGAAUCGCUAGUAAUCGCGNAUCAGCGAUGGCGCG
rnacentral:rRNA from 1 species